GCCCCAGGAGGAAGUGUGUACUGUUAGCAGCAUAGGAUUGAGGGGUUGGAAGAGACCUUUAGAACAGCAGGUUGUUCUGCCAACUGGAUGUCUGCUCUAAGUUCGGUAUCAAUAUGGUGACCUCCUGGGAACAGGGGGCCACCAGGUUGCCUAAGGAUGAAUGAACUGGCCCAGAUCAGAAAGGGAGCAGGUCAGAACUCCCACACCAAAAGGUAGUGUGACUGUGCCUGAGCAAUACAGAAGAUCUUGGAUCUUACAGGAAAUAUAAAGAACAGCAGCUCAUUCCCCUCU
rnacentral:SRP_RNA from 1 species